rnacentral:lncRNA from 1 species
GGCGAUAAAGCUGCCGGAGUCCGCGGCGGCGGAGGCGGCUGCGGCGAGCAAGGAGGCUGACGACGCACAAUGCAAAGACGGCUUUUCAGAGCAGCCAGUGGGGCAGGACAAUGUUUUUCAUCAAAUGUCCUUAGAUUUGGAGGAGGCCAGGAAAGCGGAAGAGACCUCCAGCUGCACAACGACCUGUCCCCCACACCCAACCACAAGUUUAUGAAGGGAUGCAGAACAGCAUGAAUACUGCAAAAGAUGCUCUGUGCAUCAGAACGUCCAGAAGAGAGAGAUUUAAAUUGCUUUCAGCUAAGCUGUAGACCUCUAGCAGAUGAACGACAUAUUUUCCUGAAGGACUUGCUUCGGUGUGGAAGUGAUUCCGCUGUGAGUUGUGUCUUUUGCGUUGUUGCACUCUUCAUCAUAUUCAUCCGCAGGACCUCCAGCUCUAAAGGGUGUGAAGAGGAUACUGACCCACCAGAAAGAGACCCCACUGCUAGAACGAAUAAGAUGUGCUGAAAGCCGGAGCAUAACUUGGCCAUUCCCAAGAUUUAACAACAAACUAACUACCCAUCAUUAACAGUAAAGAAAGAAAACAAUCAGUAAGAGAUUAUAUAGACCUAAGAGAUGUUACAGACCGAAGAAGAACCUAUGGAGGAAGACAGGAAGAUGAGAGAGAUUUGAAGAUGGUAUGUGGCUGAAUUUGAAGAUAGAGAAAGGAACCGCAAGCAAAGAAUGCAAGAGGUCUCUAGAAGCUGGAAAAGGCAAGGAAAGAGUCUCCCCUCAAGCUCCAGCAGGAAUGCAGUCCUGACACCUUGAGUUUAGCCUAGUGAGACUUCUGACCUCCAGAACUAGAAGAUACAAGUGGUGUUUUAAGGCACUAAAACGAAGAACUAGAAGUAUUGUUUUAAGCCCAUAAAUUUGUGAUAAUCUGUUACAGUAGUAAUAGGCAAUGCAUACACAAGCACACAAAGUAAAAUUUUUCUGUGGUUAUUUUCCAUAUUUUUUCAGUUAUUUUCUGCCUUUUGAAGACAUUAAAGACAUAAAAUGAAUAUGUAUUAGUUUAGGAAUAAAAUUUAAAAUGUAGGAAUGCUAUAAAAGAAGAAAAAAUUUUAACUGGGCUAAAGCAAACCCAGUAUGUCAUCCUAUUACAUCAGCUUCUUCAUCUUUGGAUGAAGAGGUUGGUGACUGUUUCUUCUAAUGUGAGAAUAGCUCCAAAUUGCUAAAUUGUUCAGAAUUUGACAAGAUGAAAGAGGAAAGAAAAAGGAAAUCUUGAAAACAUUUACUGUUUCCUUGUUCAAUGGAUAACACAUGGAUUCCUGAUUGGGAGAUUUUUCCUCUUGCUUUGAUCUGAAGGCAGAAGGAAAUAUAUUCAUUAUUGUUUAAAAGAAUACAUUUUAACCUAACUUUAAAACAUUCAUGAUAUAUUUGUGAACCAUAAUCU